AAACCACCGGCCUACGGUCAGUACCUGGCAACCUCCCAACCCAAUGUGAAUACACAAGCUUCCACUGACGACAGACAAAUGUAUGAAUCCCUUGGCACAAGAAGUAAUGCGGCCG